UGACAACAGACGGCUUGGAAUUUAAUGGAAAUAAUAAGUGUUUGAAUUGCUUUCACAAGGUGACCCACUCCUUUGUAUUUUGUUACAACCAAUCAGUGAGUUUAUACAUAUUAUGUCUUCCUAGUUCUUAUUGUAUGUACGUUUUUAUUUUUCUUGUUGCAUGGCAAGUGAAAAUAUACAAUAGUUACGACAGAUAUCUGAAGAUAUCUAACCCUAAUAUUUAAUGUAAUAUUUUGAUGACUAUCUCAAGCUUAGAUUUUUUUUUUACUGACUCGGGAGCUUCUCCAUGUUCGUGGGACCUAUACGUUUGAAAUUGAUGUCUGAUUCCAAUCAAGCGCAAAGCUUGGAUUAAAUUAUAUAGUUCCUGAGGCUGCUAGUCGUUCUGUGAAUUUUGUAUUAUAAUUCCAUUCGCGUCUAGGUUGCUAGAUGUAAGGAUCUCAUUAAAAUUCUCCCAGCCACUUGAAGUAUUUACAGUUUUCGUCAGAAUAUUUUUUUUAAUGUAUUUCUGAUGCAAUUUUGUAUGCUGAUGACAAAAAUCGUAUUCAUUUGCUUUUCUUUUCCUAUAGAACUUAUUUAUAAGGAAGUUAACACUUUGAAUGGUUGGAGAAAAUUUUAAAAGGUCUUUACAUCGCUGUUAAAUCAGUGGUACUCGAUUUUAUUAUAUCAACUCCAAAAGUAGGAAAGUUGAAGCUGAUAUUGGAGGAAUUUGAAUUGAGAACAUAAAAGCCGCAAGCAUUUCAUUAGAUGCCCUUCACCAGUCCUACUUAAAGUGGUGAUCCGCGAGCCAUCAGCUGCCAGUACGCGGUGAGUUUCCAGAAAAGAAACAUUAUAGAAUGCUUAUACAAUGCUUAUGUAAUAUUGUAUUAUUUGUUUACGAAAUAAAUACAAGAUAAAAAAUUGUCAACUUUUAUUAUAUUCAUUAUAUAUAUAUCGUUUCCGAUAUAAAUUAGUAUUGCUAAUAUUUCCUGUCUACGCCCUACACAAUUUUGCAAUCCACUGCUUCUUGUUAGUUUUCAGAUGAAGGAAUAGUUUCACUCCACUAUUUUGAAGUUUGACGUAAAGUUUUUUUGCUGUCUUGAAUGAUAUAUGUACGUGCAUGUGUAUGGACGCAUUGAAUUAUAUGUAUACUUCCUUUAUUACUCUUUUCUGUUUUACUUGUUUCAGUCAUUGGAUUGCGGUUUUGGGAGGGGCACCGACUUGAAGUGUUUAGUCGAACAGAUCGACUACAGUACUUAGGAAACAAAAAAUCCGGUACUUUUUG
rnacentral:lncRNA from 1 species